CAAUAGCGUAUAUUAAAGUUGUUGCGGUAAAAAAGCUCGUAGUUGGAUUUCUACCGAAGAUAGCCGGUCGGGUCUUCGACCUUGUAUCUGGUUUUGUCUUUGGUAUCCUCUUAGGGAACGUUUCUGCGCUUUAUUGCGUGGUGCGGUAUCUAUGACUUUUACUUUGAGGAAAUUAGAGUGUUCACGGCAGGCAAACGCCUUGAAUAUAUUAGCAUGGAAUAAUAACAUAGGAUCUUCGUCCUAUUUUGUUGGUUUCUAGGGCUAAGAUAAUGAUUAAUAGGGAUAAUUGGGGGCAUCUGUAUCAACGCGUCAGAGGUGGAAUUCUUGGAUUGCGUUGCGACAAACUACUGCGAAAGCAUUUGCCAAGGAUGUUUUCAUUGA
rnacentral:rRNA from 1 species